AGCCUGCGCGUCAGUUCCCGGCGCGAACCCACCGGGGGGCGAGGGCCGGGGAGGGGGACGUGAGCCCGGCGCUCCGGCCGCCCCCGAGCUGGGUGAGGCUGGGGUGCAAGCGUGGAAAGGACUGAGACGUUCUCACGCGUUUCCCCUCUUGUCUUCCAGCGGAGCUGAGUCCCUCUCCUCCGAUGAAAAAGAGCUAGGAACUGGCAGUGCCAGUGGCGACGAGUCUGCCCACGAGCGCCGGUCAGGAGAGGACAGUGCUGCGAGGGACUCUGGCAGCGCCUCCGGAGAGGAGUCCGAUACUGAGGAGUCGGAAGUAAGACGGUCGGAUGAAGAACAAGAAAAGCAAGAGUCACCACCACACUACAAGGAAUCAGGAGUGAACUGCCUGCCGCGCUGUGAACACUGCAGAAAUGAAAACGUCCCGAAGGAGCAGGUGACCCCAAAGAGACUUUCUGGAGAAAAGUACUUGUAUGUUCUUUUAAAUAUAAUAGAUAUACACCUACAUUGUUCACAUCAAGAUCCUUCUCCCUUCAGGUAGAGUGGGAAGAAGAGUAAUUUGCUGCACGAAUGCGUUUGUAGUUAUGAUAGAAGAUACCCCCAAAUCCUUAAAAAUAAACCGCUUAUAACUGCUGCCA
rnacentral:lncRNA from 1 species